rnacentral:rRNA from 1 species
UCGAGCGAGAACCAGGCCUUCGGGCCUGGGGAAAGCGGCGAACGGGUGAGUAACACGUGGGUAACCCACCCUUGGUACCGGGAUAGCCCGGGGAAACCCGGAUUAAUACCGGAUGGCCCAACAGCUCUUCGGGGCGGUUGGGAAAGGUAGCUUCGGCCUCCGACCAAGGACGGGCCCGCGGCGGAUUAGCUUGUUGGUGGGGUAACGGCCUACCAAGGCGACGAUCCGUAGCUGGUCUGAGAGGACGAUCAGCCACACUGGGACUGAGACACGGCCCAGACUCCUACGGGAGGCAGCAGUGGGGAAUCUUGCGCAAUGGGCGAAAGCCUGACGCAGCGACGCCGCGUGGGGGAAGAAGGCUUUCGGGUUGUAAACCCCUUUCAGAAGGGACGAAGCUACUCGGGUUAAUAGCCCAGAGGGUGACGGUACCUUCAGAAGAAGCCCCGGCUAACUACGUGCCAGCAGCCGCGGUAAUACGUAGGGGGCAAGCGUUGUCCGGAUUUAUUGGGCGUAAAGAGCGUGUAGGCGGUUCGGUAGGUCCGUUGUGAAAACUCGAGGCUCAACCUCGAGACGCCGAUGGAAACCCUCGAACUAGAGUCCGGAAGAGGAGAGUGGAAUUCCUGGUGUAGCGGUGAAAUGCGCAGAUAUCAGGAAGAACACCCGUGGCUAAGGCGGCUCUCUAGUACGGUACUGACGCUGAGACGCGAAAGCGUGGGGAGCGAACAGGAUUAGAUACCCUGGUAGUCCACGCCGUA